AGAAGUUGAAGCUAUGUCCACUCCAGGGGCAGACCAUUUUCUUCAAAGGGGGUAGGCGUUCCGUUUCUUUUGCUAGUCUUUCGUACAGGAAUGAGCUUGUGAAGCAAUUCAAACCAACAACUCAAGGUACAGAAAUAUGUUUAGGGAACAGAAACUGAUCCUGGGGUGGACCCAGUUCCCAUUCAAGAUGUGAAAGGGAAGUCUGCUGAGAGAAAUCAUGUGAUGGGGAAUGCCUGACUGUACCCUUUCUGCUGCCCACUACUGAACACAGGGCUCUGAGCUUACAGAGAUGAAUGCCCCCCUACCCUGUUCCUAAGGCAUUAACUCUAUGGAAUGGAUCACAGAAAAUACAUUAAAG